rnacentral:lncRNA from 1 species
AUUUGUUUUAUUUUUAUUUUUUUGGUAAAGACAGGGUCUCGCUAUGUUGCCCAGGCUGGUGGUCUCGAACUCCUGGGCUCAAGCGAUCCUCCCGUCUCGGUGGCCAAAGUAUUGGAUGACAGGUGUGAGCCACCGCGCUGGGUGGUGAAACGGUUUUGAGGCUUUUUGAGAAUGGCUGUUCUAUAUGCCCGCGUGAGGUUCAUGCGGCGAGCGCCGCCACUCCCGCAGUGGCCCCUGUGGGGGUGAUACGUGAUGUGGCUUAAAUGUGAGAGGCCACCUGGACCCGUGUGAUUGCCACGUUUGCAGGAGCGCAGCCACGUGCACAGGGAUCGUGUGACAUUCUGUGUGAGGCUUUUUGCGCUGGGUCCACCCAUGAUUAGAGGACUAGUGUGACUGUGGCGGCCCCUGAGAAGGGAAGAAGCUGGUUGCGACCAGGAAGGUCUGAGAUGGAUGAAUGACAGAUCUCUGGACCAGGGCGUCCUGAAUCUUAGAUGUAUGCAUAGGAGCGGUGUGAGGUGACUGUGUAUGUUUGUGUGUGAGAGUCCAGAGCCGACUUAGAGGAGUGGAAGCUGGCACAUGUUAUCUGCCAGAAGGGACAGAUCCAUGGUAAGGAUUUUUAACCUUGCUGAGAGACCAGUAACUCCAUCACCAAGUGUAAUAUGAGGAAAUGGUGCUUGUUUGAGAACAAGUGAUUCUGCUUGUGUCUGAUUCUCAUUCAUGUAUGUGAGAUGGUUUGCACUUGAAACUGUCAGUGAGAGAGAAAGUAGAGUGAAAUAUAUGACGUACAGCUGGCCCUCCCUAUCCAUGGGUCUUGCAUCGUGGAUUCAACAAACCUUCAGUUGAAAAUAUCUGGGAAAAGAAGUUGAUGUUUGCAUCUGUACUGAACUUGUACAGGCUUUUUUUUCUUGUCAUCAUGCCCUAAAAAAUAGAAUAUAACAACUAUGUACAUAGUAUUUACAUGGUUAUUAGGUGUUAUAAGUAAUCUAGAGAGGGUUUAAAGAAUAUGGGAGGAUUUCCAUAGAUUAUAUGCAAAUACUGUGUGCAUUUUAUAUAAGGGACUUGAGCAUCUGUGUAUGUUGGUAGGGAGGGGUCCUGGAGGGACACUGAGGGAUGACUAUGUGAAAGUGGUUUGCGAAUAUGCUCAAGUCUCUAGAUGAAUUGUAUGACAGUGAAGGGGUACGUGAUUAGACUGUUGUGGCUUUGAGGUUGAUGUGUAUGUUUUAAAGGAUUAUGAUUGAGUUGGAGAUCAUGUGAGAUUUGGUGUGUUUGAAUGUGACAUGAAUUAAAAUCCGAAUGAAAGAUUG